UGCUCCGACACCAAACUCUAUGACGGCCAAGCAGCCCUAGAAUCAACCAUCAACAUCGCAACCGCAGCCCUCACCGGCGGCAAUAUGAUCCACGAUGUAG
rfam:Anaerolineaceae bacterium 4572_5.1 ex4572_5.1_scaffold_17362, whole genome shotgun sequence.